GCACAAGGUAAGGGUUACGGAUG
rnacentral:piRNA from 1 species